rnacentral:rRNA from 1 species
AGUGAACGCUGGCGGUAGGCCUAACACAUGCAAGUCGAACGGCAGCACAGGAGAGCUUGCUCUCUGGGUGGCGAGUGGCGGACGGGUGAGGAAUACAUCGGAAUCUACUCUGUCGUGGGGGAUAACGUAGGGAAACUUACGCUAAUACCGCAUACGACCUACGGGUGAAAGCAGGGGAUCUUCGGACCUUGCGCGAUUGAAUGAGCCGAUGUCGGAUUAGCUAGUUGGCGGGGUAAAGGCCCACCAAGGCGACGAUCCGCAGCUGGUCUGAGGGGUGGAUAAGCCACACUGGGGCUGAAACACGGUCCAGACUCCGACGGGAGGCAGCAGUGGGGAAUAUUGGACAAUGGGCGCAAGCCUGAUCCAGCCAUACCGCGUGGGUGAAGAAGGCCUUCGGGUUGUAAAGCCCUUUUGUUGGGAAAGAAAUCCAGCUGGCUAAUACCCGGUUGGGAUGACGGUACCCAAAGAAUAAGCACCGGCUAACUUCGUGCCAGCCGCCGCCGUAA